rnacentral:rRNA from 1 species
GAUGAACGCUGGCGGCGUGCCUAAUACAUGCAAGUCGAGCGAACGGACGAGAAGCUUGCUUCUCUGAUGUUAGCGGCGGACGGGUGAGUAACACGUGGAUAACCUACCUAUAAGACUGGGAUAACUUCGGGAAACCGUAGCUAAUACCGGAUAAUAUUUUGAACCGCAUGGUUCAAAAGUGAAAGACGGUCUUGCUGUCACUUAUAGAUGGAUCCGCGCUGCAUUAGCUAGUUGGUAAGGUAACGGCUUACCAAGGCAACGAUGCAUAGCCGACCUGUGAGGCGGAUCAGCCACCCUGGAACUGAGACACGGCCCGUACUCCUACGGGAGUCAGCAGUAGGUAAUCUUCCGCGAUGGGCGAAAGCCUGACGGAGCAACUCCGCGUGAGUGAUGAAGGUCUUCGGUUCGUAAAACUCUGUUAUUAGGGAAGAACAUAUGUGUAAGUAACUGUGCACAUCUUGACGGUACCUAGUCAGAAAUCCACGGCUAACUACGUG